rnacentral:tRNA from 4 species
GGGGGUGUAGCUCAGUUGGGAGAGCACCUGCCUUGCAAGCAGGGGGUCAGGAGUUCAAGUCUCCUCAUCUCCACCA